GCCUGGGUGGCUCAGUCGGUUGAGCGUCCGACUUCAGCUCAGGUCACGAUCUCACGGUCCGUGAGUUCGAGCCCCAUGUCGGGCU
rfam:Felis catus isolate Cinnamon breed Abyssinian chromosome C1, whole genome shotgun sequence.